ACUCUGUAAUUCUCUGGUUCUGGUUACUGGAGCCCUCCCACAGACUCCAGGACUUGGUUUAGAAAUCUCCCUGCCUUUCCCAACUUAGCUCAUAAUGAUCUCAUACAAAAAUUUGGACUUCUCAGAAGAGACGCUGAAACAAUGGGAACUAUGGAGGCUGCGUUAUUCUUACCAUUUGACUAAAUCUGGACAACAUCCAGCUUGACAGAGUCCGCUCAAGUCUGUCUCCAAGUCAUCCCUGAACCACUGGCAUGAGAAGUAGGCACUUGCUAGAAAUGUGGAUGCCUCUCUGGACCUACUCUUCAUUCAGAAUCUCUAUGGUCUGUACCCAGGAAUCUGAAUUGUAAACCAGCUUCCUGUUGAUCUUUGCCCCUGCAGGAAACAGAUGACACACUCAAAUGAGGAUCAUCUGAGGGAUGUUUAAUAAAGAGGCCGCUCUCCAAGAGAUGUUCACCUCCUAGAGAUCAGCUCCUGGGGCGGUGGACACUUAAAUCAGCAAGCAGAUGCAUGGAAAGAAAAGAGACCCAAGCAAUUGCUCAAAUAUCUCAUUGUGGAUACAGAUGGUAAUGAACAGGGCAGUUCUUCAGGGACCUCAAAUAGCCAAAGGAAAAGCCCAGUACAUUCUCCAAUACUUUGCCCCGUCUCGCCCCCACCUGCUGGUGCAGCACCAUUUGCCACGGCCUGUGAGGUCAUCUCUGCAAGGCGUGCUGUUUCCUCCAGCUCCUUGGCUCUCUGGCUGCGACUCAGUGUUUAUGAUCGCACCAACGUGUGAGGAACGCGGUGUCGAAGAACAAGGCCCAGGCUGGCACCAAGGAUCUAAAUCUGUUUCCCAAGUCUGAUCCUUGGUCUCCAAGUCCACAGAGAUAUCCACUCCUGAACCCCAUCAAAUGCUGUGCCAGAUCUCUGGAGGUAGGCAUGCAGUUUAGAUCUCCAUAAACCCCAUAUUCUGACAUUGCUUUGUAUCACUCUUCAAUCAUGCUAUGAGUUUCUGAAAGGUAGAAAUAUAUCUUUGUAUUUACCAAGUACAAUCUCUGACACUUGAGGAUAUUGAGUAAAUGUUAGACAUGCCCAGAAAAGGCAGAAGCAUAAAAUCUCAGGGCUCUACCCAGAUUCUUGUGGUUUAUGAUCGUAGCUGAUCCCGCUCCUAGGACACAAGAGUCACUCCAGUAUGAUGUCUCCAAACACUGCCAUGUUUUUGAGGAAAAGAUGAGGAAGAGGAAAGAUGAGGAAGAUGAGGAAAAGCCACUUAGCUUUGAAGCUUUUGUUUAUGACAUGAAGAGAACAGGUAUCAGCCAAACAAGGCAUGAGUAUAGAAAAUGACACUGUAGUCUCCUACACUUAGAUAGAAGGAGGAUAUGAGGGGACAGGCAGCCUGGAACACUUGUACAGCUCCAGGUAUAUUGCUCCACUGUGUCCCUGAACUUCAGAGAACUCGAACGACCAACAUGGCAUAGGCAUUCACUUAGUUUCUGAAGAAUGGAAGCAAUAGUGACAAUGAGUAGGCGCUCAGAACCCAGGUUUGGAAGGAAACUUGGAGAUCAUCAAAUCUAUUGGUUUCACUUUUCUCUUGAGGACUUGGAGGCCCACAGAUGAACAAUAACAUACUCAGGGUCACAAAAUAGUUGGUAGCUAACCACAGGGAAGCUCUUGCUUUGAGAGAUGCUUAUGGGUUGCAAGGCCUCUCCUUUAGGGAAAGACCCAUAAAAGGUCUACAUCUUCUACAUAAGAACCUAAUGUGUCAUAUAAUCAUAGAAUAUCAUUUUGCAAAGUAUGAACAUGUAACUUACAAAAAAUGUAACUUGCAGAAAGACCUCCCUGAGACUAAUCACACAAACACAUGCAUACACACUAUCUCUCUCUUCUAAAUCUCCUUCUGAGAAACUUGAAUAUAGCUCUGAUGCCCCUCUAUCUUGGCUGUGUUAGAAACAUCCCAGAGAUAGUGGACAGGGUAGUGUGUCUGGGAUUAGUAAAGUUCAUUCUCAUUCUCUCUCUCUCUCUCUCUCUCUCUCUCUUCAUUUGUGUAGUUAUUCUACAUUCAGGUAUUUAGGGAUCAUAUAUCUAUGCCUACUGCUAUAAAAAUUGCUGGGAUUCAUAAUAGAACUUCCCUAAUCCAAUAUAGCUAUGCUCUCUAUCUUUGGGGAAUUUCAUGGUUUAACAGUCAACAGUAGACCUAGCAUUCAGGAGACCGUACAAAGCAGAGUAUGAUUAAGUGCUAAAAUAGGUAGUUGGUCCCAGAGGUGCUCAGAGGUAGGUGAACUUCCUGGUGACUGACACAAGCAGGGAAGGAGGCAUAGAAGGGGCAAAGUAGGCAGCCAAGAAAGGUCUGGUUUCAUAGAAGCAGAGGAAGAAAUUAAUUCUUUUUUUUUUUCAAGAUUUUAUUUAUGGGGCACCUGGGUGGUCAGUGGUUGAGCAUCUUCCUUUGGCUCAGGUCAUGAUCCUGGGGUCCUAGGAUUGAGUCCCACAUCAGGCUCCCUGCAUGGAGCCUGCUUCUCCCUCUGCCUACAUCUCUGCCUCUCUCUCUCUUUGUGUCUCUCAUGAAUAAAUAAAUAACACCUUUUAAAAAAUAAUAAAGA
rnacentral:lncRNA from 12 species